CCUACUCAUAUAUAUAUAUAUAUAUAUAUAUAUAUAUAUAUAUAUAUAUAUAUAAUUGAGCUAGAAUACUUUUAGAAGCACCAACCCCUUGGUGCUUCUAAGUUUCUAGCCCUUAGAUCUACUCCUUAAUUACUAAUAACCCUUGGAUCAAAUACUAUUCCACCUACCAUCACCUACCACUACCUACCACCAUCAUCUCAAUCCUACAUCUCUCUAUCCAAUGGUUAAAAACUCAAAAGCACCACCCCCUUGGUGUUUUUGAGAGUAUUCUAGCUCAACUAUAUAUAUAUAUAUAGCGCAGGGCUGCUAUGCUCUCAGGAGAACGGAGGUUUAUGUGCUCCUGAGCCGUUUUCGAUGAUGGAAUUUUCGAAUCGACGAUCGGCUCCGUUAUACUUAAUCUAGCGCAUUUGAAGUUUCUAGAAAAUAAUUUUUGCGAUUUUUUGAUAUCAUUUACCUAGUGAUCGAAAGGAUUCAAAAUCCAUAAUUUUUAAUGGUUGAUAUCUGCUGUUUUCAAAUUUAACGGUGUAGAAGUAUUCAAAUCAGAUGAAAUUUUGAUACAAAAUUUUUUGUACUGUCUACAACAAAAUCAAUAUUUCUGAUAAAAAAUUUUAGUGCUAUAUCACCACUUUUUAUAAGGAUUUUUAUUUUCAGCCGUUAAAAAUUAUUAAUUUUGAAUCAUUUCGAUUGCUAGGUAAAUGAUAUCGAAAAAUCACAAAAAUUAUUUUCUAGAAACUUCAAAUACGCUAGAUCAAGUUUAACGGAGCCGAUCGUCGAUUCGAAAACUCCAUCAUCGAAAACGGCUCAGGAGCACGGAGGCCUCCGUGCUCCUGAGAGCACAGCAGCCCUUCUCUAUAUAUAUAUAUAGGGUUAAUUUUAUACAAGUCCCUGCAAACAUGAUGAAUAGCAGAUAUAUUCCUGCAAAGUUUAACUUUCAUAAGUUAUCCCUUCAAAAGUUCUAAUGUAUUCAGAUAUGUCCAUGUCGUUAAUCUCUAUUAGAGAAAUCUAGUUAACCAUUGUUAAAAUACUUAACUAUAGUCAGUUAAUUAAUUAGGUAAAAAGACAUUUUUAUCUUUUUUCCUCUUCCUCUCCUGCUUCUUUUUCUUCCUUUUCUUCUUCUUCCUCUUCCUCUUCUGUUUCUUCUUCUUCCUCUUCUUCUUCAUAUCCUCAUUUUUCUCCUCAUUUUUUCCUCCUUCUUCUUUUUCUUCGUCGUCAUUGUCGAUGAUCCGAUCGUCAUUGCCGUCGUGGUGCCCACGUAGGCCAUCGUCAUAG
rnacentral:lncRNA from 1 species